AGCGAACGUUAGCGGCGGGCCUAACACAUGCAAGUCGAACGAGAAAAUCCCUUCGGGGGUGAGUACAGUGGCGCACGGGUGAGGAACGCGUAGGUAAUCUACCCUCUGGCGGGGGACAACACUCCGAAAGGAAUGCUAAUACCGCGUAAGACCACACCUACUACGGUAGGAGCGGUUAAAGGUGCCUCAAAGCACCACCAGAGGAUGAGCCUGCGUCCCAUCAGCUUGUUGGUAAGGUAACGGCUUACCAAGGCGAAGACGGGUAGCUGGUCUGAGAGGAUGAUCAGCCACACUGGUACUGGAACACGGACCAGACUCCUACGGGAGGCAGCAGUGGGGAAUCUUAGACAAUGGGCGCAAGCCUGACCCAGCCACGCCGCGUGUGUGAUGAAGGCCUUCGGGUCGUAAAGCACUGUGGGGAGGGACGAAAUUGACGGUACCUCCAGAAGAAGCCCCGGCCAACUACGUG
rnacentral:rRNA from 1 species